UGGGUUGUGGCUCAGUGGUAGAGCGCUUGCCUCUCAUGCAUGAGACCUGAGUUCAAUCCUCACUGCCACAU
rnacentral:tRNA from 1 species